AUGCCAGUCUUGGGCACUGACUCAGGGGGCAGCAGGCAGGUAUUUGAAAAAAGACUGAGAAACUUGCCGAGAGCCUGUGUCCCCUUCUGACUGCCUCUCAGAGAAACAGAGGCAAGUUGAGUGGAGGACCAGGGUCCAAUGGAGGAUGAGCCUGUGACGGGCCGUGGUUCAAGUUCAUGUGAGAAACAGCGGAAGUAACAGGGGCCGUUUAACCCUGAGAAGAGCCAGGCUGUGGAGAACUAGGAGAGUGUAUUCCCCUGUCUUCGAAUAUUGGAGCAGUCAAGGGGAAUUGUGGGAUUUCAGAGCCGUUAGAGCUCCCAGAUACCAUCUGGGCGUGUUGCAGAUGAGGGGACACGGGUUCGAGCCCUGGUCCAGGAAGAUCCCACAUCCCGCGGAGCAACUAAGCCUGUGUGCCACAACUACUGAGGCUGCACUCUAGAGCCCGCUCGCCACAACUACUGAGCCCACGUGCCGCAACUGCUGAAGCCCGCAGGCCUAAAAGCCUAAGCUCUGCAACAAGAGAAACCAGUGCAAUGAGAAGCCCACGCACCGCAAGGAAGAGUAGCCCCCGCUCGACGCAACUAGAGAAAGCCCACGUGCAGCAACGAAGACCCAACG